GACAGCAUGGUGUAGUGGGUUAAGCAUUGGACUAUAACUCUGGAGACCCAGGUUCAACUCCCUGCUUUGUCA